AGAAAUUCAAACACCAACAACAAUAUCGAGAACAUAAUAUAAGGAAACACAAAAAUAAAUCCGGAGACUCCAGUAUUGGUACUGUCAGCCUCACAUCAAACACAACGU